UUGAAAUUUUCAUUUCCUUUUUUUCGAGCUUGGAAAAGGAGAAAAAGGUUGGACGCAAGUUGGAAGGAUUUUUUAAACCAGGAGUCUGAAACCCACAUCAAUGCCCUUCUACCAAACCCCAACUCAAUUUAACAUUUCUCCCUCUUCUCCAACCCCACAUCCUUCUCCUCCUCCUCUUAACCAAGGUGGUUUUCCGUUGGAGAUGGAGUGUCAGGGUGUGGAGGAUUUCGUUGAAGACAUAUUGGACUUCCCUAUUGAGGAGAACGGGGGUUCUUGCAACGGAGAGGAGACAGAAAACCAGACGGAAAACGAGGCGGUUGAAAACAAGAGGAAAUACCACUGAAACAGAACACCUCUCCUUCUUCUUCGUCCCUUUCAUCGACUACGACGACCACCACUUCUUGUUCACGUGAUUACCAGGCCGACCCAGCCUCUGCGACUGACUUAAGCGUCCCGAGCGAAGCAGCA